AUAUAUAAGGUUUGAUUAAAAUCUGAGACAGUAACAACAACCUAUAAUUCCAUUUUAACCCAGAAGACUGACAGUGCACAGGCACCUGCUUGAAAAAUAGCCAAAGUACUCUGCACUUAGC